rnacentral:rRNA from 1 species
GGGAAUCUUCCACAAUGGACGCAAGUCUGAUGGAGCAACGGCCGCGUGAGUGAAGAAGGUUUUCGGACCGUAAAGCUCUGUUGUUGGUGAAGAAGGAUAGAGGUAGUAACUGGCCUUUAUUUGACGGUAAUCAACCAGAAAGUCACGGCUAACUACGUGCCAGCAGCCGCGGUAAUACGUAGGUGGCAAGCGUUGUCCGGAUUUAUUGGGCGUAAAGCGAGCGCAGGCGGAAGAAUAAGUCUGAUGUGAAAGCCCUCGGCUUAACCGAGGAAUUGCAUCGGAAACUGUUUUCUUGAGUGCAGAAGAGGAGAGUAGAACUCCAUGUGUAGCGGUGGAAUGCGUAGAUAUAUGGAAGAAUACCAGUGGCGAAGGCGGCUCUCUGGUCUGCAACUGACGCUGAGGCUCGAAAGCAUGGGUAGCGAACAGGAUUAGAUACCCUGGUAGUCCAUGCCGUAAACGAUGAGUGCUAAGUGUUGGGAGGCUUCCGCCUCUCAGUGCUGCAGCUAACGCAUUAAGCACUCCGCCUGGGGGAGUACGACCGCAAGGUUGAAAC